rnacentral:lncRNA from 1 species
GGUUAGGUCAUUCAAAAUAAGGUAGGCUAUAAAUGAGUCUAACUGCUCAAGUGACAUCACAGGGACCAAUCUGUGGGGAGAAUUGACCUAAACUACUGCCCCCACAACUAGGUUAGUAACAUCUUGUGACUUUGCCUAGCUAGAUAUUUGCCAACCCAUAUCCCUGUUAAGUUUCGAGAGAUAGCAACUUUACAUGCAAAAGUUAUCAAAGUAAAUGAAUGAAUGAAUGAAUCAUUACAACCCAAUUA